UAUAGAGAGUUAUGGUUAGGAGCAUACCACCUAUGUUAAAGGGGUAUUCCGGUAAUUUUUUUAUUUGACUAUGCUACAGGGGCUGUAGAGUUAGUGUAGUUCAUAAUAUAAUGUCUGUACCUGUAUGUGAUGGUUUUCUUAUCCCAAUAUUUAUUUUUACCAGCACACAAAAUGACUGCUGUCUCGGAUUUUUCCCAGCUUGCAAUGCGGUCGAGACCUGACUCACUAGUCAGCUGAUGACAGGGAGCCUGUCUGCUUCAAUGGGUGGAGGGAUCAAUCUGCAACUAAUGCAGCAGCUGGAGGCACCCUGAUUGAAAACCACAGGGUAAUCCGAGGGCUGAAGAGGAGAUGUCCUGUGUCAUUUAAGGAGAAAGACAAUGCCCAGGUGUCAGUGCUGGAGAAGAGGUAAGGCAGCAUCUUCCUGCAGCCACAAGAGGAAGUCAAGCCUAGAAUGCCCUAGAACACUUGUGGCUUUCACCAUCUUACCCACUGGAAUCUUGCAUAACUUUGGUUGGAAAACUUCUUUAAGAAAAUGCAAGAAAUGUCCUCUCUCUUGUUAUGUGGUCCUGAAAUGCAAUUGGCAGCUACUGGUCCCCAAGUCUGUGCCAUAGCCCUACAUACAGGUCUUAGGAUAUUUGACUUUGGGUUACACUGGCCUUAGUCUCUGAGUUGACUCUAGUCAACUCCUACUUCUCACUAAUCUCCAGUUGUACUAUAGUUGUGCUAUAUAUAGGAGCUAA